rnacentral:lncRNA from 1 species
GUGAUUGUUCUUUGGAUUUCUCCCGGUAAUUGGACUUCAUAUUAUUGUGAUUGGUUCAUCCCCUACACGGCGUUAUAAAUAUCUCUUCCUCUCCAUUUACUUAGUGUAACUAGUUUAGUUGCUAGUCUUGCCUUGUGUAGCUUAGUUCACUAGUGUAGCUUUUAGUGACAUAGCUCUUGUGUGCCUAGUGAUCUUAUAAACUAGAAUUGUUGGAUAGGUGGCUUGCAAACACCCCUUUAGAGCUAGAGCAAAAAGCUUCGCUCUCUUAUUUACUAACCUCUUGCUCUAGUGAGUUUGUAGAAUUUUUAAAUAGGCUAUUCACCCCCCU